rnacentral:rRNA from 1 species
GACGAACGCUGGCGGCGUGCUUAACACAUGCAAGUCGAACGGUAAGGCCCUUCGGGGUACACGAGUGGCGAACGGGUGAGUAACACGUGGGUGAUCUGCCCUGCACUUCGGGAUAAGCCUGGGAAACUGGGUCUAAUACCGGAUAGGACCACUGCCUGCAUGGGUGGUGGUGGAAAGCUUUUGCGGUGUGGGAUGGGCCCGCGGCCUAUCAGCUUGUUGGUGGGGUGAUGGCCUACCAAGGCGACGACGGGUAGCCGGCCUGAGAGGGUGACCGGCCACACUGGGACUGAGAUACGGCCCAGACUCCUAUGGGAGGCAGCAGUGGGGAAUAUUGCACAAUGGGCGCAAGCCUGAUGCAGCGACGCCGCGUGAGGGAUGACGGCCUUCGGGUUGUAAACCUCUUUCAGCACCGACGAAGCGCAAGUGACGGUAGGUGCAGAAGAAGGACCGGCCAACUACGUGCCAGCCGCCGCCUGUAA